rnacentral:rRNA from 1 species
UUGCAGUUAAAAAGCUCGUAGUUGGAUUUCGGAGUGGGCCAGUUGGUCCGCCGCAAGGUGUGUUACUGACUGGUUUGCUCUUCUUCGCAAAGACUGCGUGUGCUCUUGAGUGAGUGUGCGUAGGAUUUACGACGUUUACUUUGAAAAAAUUAGAGUGUUCAAAGCAGGCUAUUGCUUGAAUACAUGGGCAUGGAAUAAUGGAAUAGGACUUUGGUCCCAUUUUGUUGGUUUCUAGGGCCGAAGUAAUGAUUAAGAGGGACAAUUGGGGGCAUCCGUAUUUCGUUGUCAGAGGUGAAAUUCUUGGAUUUACGAAAGACGAACAACCUGCGAAAGCACUUGCCAAGAGUGUUUUCCAUUAAUCCAAGAACGGAAGUUAGAAGGAUCGAAGACGAUCAGAUCCGU